CAGCCACGUGCGAGAACGGAAACGCGAGCGAGAGAAGGGAGCGAGCGAAGGGAAACGAGCCAGCGUCCCCCUCCCCCUCCUCCCAAACGAGCCCGUGUUCCCCUCCCCCUCCUCCUACCUCAGGAACCCUAGCCGCCGCCUUCCCCCCCCCCCCCCCCCCCCCCCCCCCCCUCGCCCCGCCGCAUCUCGUCCGCCCGGGGUGCGGAGGCGAGCUUCCCGGCGCCGAUGGCGCCGGCUCGAGGCGGGGGAGCGGCCGAUGCGGGGUCGGUUGGAUCGAGGCGUGGGAGCGGCGGAUGCGGCGGCGGAGGCGACCUAUGAAGAGGCGAGAGGAGCGGUGGUGGCGGCGUCGAGCUGCGAAGAGGGGCCGCUCGGGCGCUAGACCACGGAGGCGGGAGCGGCUGCUUCGGGCCCCGAUCUGAGAGGGUACGAGGCAGGGAAGGACGGCAUCGUCGCCGUCACAGAUCUUCCUUCAGUCCCUUUCAUUCCCUCUCCGGUUCAUCCUCUUCCCAUCCCUCGUAUUAGGUAAGUUCUAUUAGGAUCCGGUGCCACCGUGCGCCAUGAUUUCAGAUUGGCCUGCCUGCUACCCCAAAUGGAUGCGCCACCCAGUCAGCCGAGUGAUGGCAGAAUAUGCUUUUGUAGAACUGCAUAUCUAUUUGUUAUGAAUCUAGAGUCUCAAAGCCAAUAAGUUGCUAAAUCAUUGACUGGCUGUUUCCAUGUUUGUAUUAUGCGCUUCUCACUCGGCGAGGGGAGCAUUAGGCCUCCUAUGGUCUGGAUUUCUCCAAAUGAUUAGGCUUUACGAAAAUUGUGUACGCAUGUCUUACAGCCUAGGUUAUCCUGGACCUCUUUGGGGACAACAUCACCAAGUUUUCUUCUUAUUGCACUGCAAGUUAAAAAAAGUCAGUGACUAAUGACUCUUCUUAUCUCUCUGUUCACCCAUGUGCUUAGCUGCAAAAAUUCUAAAAAGAUGCACCUAAUGAGGGGUGGCGGAUGUGCGUCCUCUAGGGCCCCUUCGGCCAGAGAAGGAGGGGAGGAGCGGUUGCCGACGAGCGAGGUGGCUCUGUUUGGACCGGCCAUGGUGUUGGCUGUUGACUCCCACCGGUCUUGUCUCCCCCAACCCUUCCAUGGAGCUUGCUUAGCCACCGGCCGGCAUCUUCUCGCUCACAGCACCAAGGGCAUGUAGCUUACUUUUUAACUGUUAUUGCUGGUUGGAGCCAUUGCUAUUGGCUAUUUAUACAUAAGAUGGAAGGUGAAUUGAGAUUUUUGUGAGGGGGAUUGGAUUUCAUCCAGAUGGCUUGCUUCUCGUGAUGAGACUGAUACUAAUGAACUAAUGAAGACAUGAAGGUUGCAUCUUAUCCCCAUUUCCCUUUCUACAUUUGCCAUUUAGUCGAUUAACAUACAUUGUACUAUUUCCCUUUCUGUUGCCAUUUAGUUGAUUAACAUAGAUUGUAUUAUUUUCGGUUAAGCACACUAUGGGUCAAUGAAUGUGGAAUUAGCUACUUUUUAUAUCCCUGGACCAUAUAUAUUACAUGCAUCACUACUUGAUGCUUCUCUGAUAUGCUUUUGCUUUUUAUUGUUAUACAUUCAUCAGUACUUCAUGCAUCUCUGAUAUGCUUUUGCUUUUUAUUGUUACCCUUAAUUACUACUUUUCUAUGAACCCAAUGUUUAGGUUGCAGGCUCAACUGCAUAUCUAUAUUCUCUGUAUGAAUUUUUUAGCUAGCUUUGAAGCGAAUGUGGUGAUCAAGGCUCUAAUAUGUAUUCUUUAUUUGCAUGAAUGUUGUGUGCAUAUAGGUACUUGCAAUGGAAUCUUUUUCUCAUACACGAGAAGUACUUUGAAAACAGAUUUUAAAAAUUGAUAUAAUUUUACAAGUGUGCAGAUAGCUGACAAGGCAACAAUGCUAUUGUUCAAAUGUAGUCGAGCCGGGCUUUUGGUGUUUUCGGUGCUAUUGUUCAAAUUUUGCUUUCUUAGAUUCAUUCCAACCAAAAGAUUUGGUAAUAUUUUUUUUUUCUGGAAACAUGGAUACACUUGUUGGUGUUGUAUACUGGGAUCUGUAAGUAUUGUCAUAGGAAUUUUUUUAUCCUAAGGAUUCACACAGAUUGUAGGGGAAUUAGUAUCUACUCCCUCUGUUCCAAAAUAGAUGGCCCAACUUCAUACUAACUUUGUACUAAAGUUAGUAUAAAGUUGAGUCAUCUAUUUUGGAACGGAGGGAGUAACAUCUUGUUAAAUGUACACAAACUGGUAUAUCUUCAUGGCUUUUAAGCUAUAUAAUUGUAGAUGAUAAUUUAUGCUUUGAUAAAGUAAUAUCUUACUUCUUGGUGCUUGGAUAAAAUAGUAUAGUUUGCUGAAAAUAUGUUCAUACUUUAUAUCACAGAAGUACAAACUGACAAUCAGCCUAGGUGAAGUUAAAAGAAGCAAAAGUAUUGUGUAUAAUCAUUAGAUUUGUUAAGGUGAAUCAGAUUUAUUUUUGCUGCUGUACGUAGAAUGCAGUUUAUUUUAAUUCAUGUUGCUGCGUUUGGCCCGACAUGUCGAUGGGUGUGGCCGCUCCCUUGUUAGUUUGUUGCUCGAUUUGGUUUGGUCCAAGGUAGGUUGUGUGUUGUCUACGUCUGUAUAUUCGUUGGCUGGAUAAGAAGAUUUUGCAGGUUUUUCUCUGGUUUGGUUGCUUCUGCUCUGAGUGCAGGUUCCUAUGAUUUCUAGACAGUGUAUUGGUUCUAAGGAUUGCUCGGUUAGUUUAAAAGUGCUUUGAUUUCCUUCUUGUCUUCACACACAGACCUUGAAGAUGGCUAGGUUUGCAUGGGCAUGGAGUUUGGUACACCUGGCCUCUAUUUAGAUUUGUUAAUAAAUUCAGUUUAUCACGAACACCAUAAAUGUGUUAUCAGCUUACUAUCUUGGCACAUGAGCUAUUUUUCAGUCAAUGCGUGUCGAGUCCACUUCGAACUGAAUAUGUAGUGUUUUGUUUGAAACUGAGUAACUGUGGUUGAAAUUUAGUUUCAUUUGGACGAGCUACCCCAAGUAUCAUCAAUUCAUGAUGGCUAAUUUGUUUUGGUUCUUGAUGAAUCGGCCAUGGUCCUGAUUUAAGAGUUUUUAUGUUAUUUCUCAGCCUAUUUGAGCUAUUAUUUUUUCUGUUUAAAACACACAAUUGUAGAUGCCCUUUUUGAUUCAGAAAAUGGUCUUCAUGUCUGUGGUUUGGUUAAACAUUUUCUCAGCAUAUCUCUAUUCAUCAGUCUUAACUCGCAUAACAUCCAAUAUAGUUUGUCUGAUCUAGACUAAAUGUUGGUUGUUGCUAUGUUUUGUGUGCAGUCUAUUUCUCUUCUAUCUUGGUCAUUAAAGAUGUGACAAGAAAGAAAUUUCAAAAGGUUUGAUAAUCUAGAAUGCUCAUAUGGAGUUAUUUGAACCAGUUCUUUUAGUAGCUGCUGAGACCAGAUAUAUCAGAAAAUUUUAAAAUAUACCAACAGUAGGGUUGACCAAUAAUCCUGAAUUGAUUCAGUCUUCAGGCCUUAUGCACAAUUUCCACAAUGUUAAGAUAAUAUAUGCUUUAAUGCUCCUGUGCACUACUUUAAUGCUUCUGCUUGUUUGUCUGAAUCUUGUUGUUGUUCAUUAAUUUCUUGUCGCCUGUUGUUGCCCAUGAGGGGGAGUCGGAUCCAUCAUGGAUAACCAUCCCUGAUGAGCUUUUAAUACAUACUGAUGGUGACAAAAUUGAUGCCAUUGUUCAGGUUGUAUACAAAGAUGUUCCUACUAGGUAUUCUGAUGUUGAUUAUCUAAAAGAAAGAGCAAUUCUAACACCAACGAACCAAGUAGCUGAAAAUUAUAAACGAGCGCGUUCUAUCUUUAGUGCCUACCAGUGAGAGAGUACCUAAGCUGUGUCAAGUGUCCAUGCCUAUGUUUUAUAUGCAAAUACCUUUCCUCUUUUGCACAAACCAUGCUUCCUGUACAAUGAUAUUUAAUAGCAGCAAACUAAACAGGUUGAUUAGGAAACUGAAGCUGCAGCUACUGAAGAGCCAAAGAACAUUCUUGUUGAACAGGCUAAAGCCAAGAGGUAAAGACUCAUAGUCUGUUACAUCCAACCAGUUCAACGUAAGAUAUGGCGUGUCGCCUCUUGUUCUUCCUUUACCUUGACAACCAAAGCAUCCUUCUCUGUGGCUCUCAAAAAUGCUUUCUUCUUCACACGAUGCAUGUUAUGACAUUUGAUCAAACUACUUUUCUGCCACAGCUAUAUUCAAAUGGAUCAUAGGCCCAAUAAAACAUCAUUUUACUUCAAAAUCUAAUAUACGUUUUAUUUAUUUUCCUGUUGCAUAUACAGGCAACUCUUCUUGUUGCAUCAAAAGUAACUUACUUCGUACAUGCAAACUAAUUAGCCACGUAGUUAAAUUAGCUACGUAUUAAGAUUCGGUACAUCUACUGCUUAUUUAUGUUGUGUUCUAUUUGCUGUGUCCAAUAUUUAUGCGCUUGUUAUUUUUAUCACUGUAAUCAAGCUUCUGUUGUUAUAGCAAUAUGAAAUCCUAUGCAUCAAGCUUCUGUUCUUAUAGCAAUUACAGUUUUGAUACCUCUGUUUCUCUAUAUCAUCUUGUUGGGUUUCUGUUUCUCUUCAUAUAGGAUACAGGUAUGUGAUUCUCAUGUGGUCCCUUCGCUGGAAACUUGCUAAUCUUAGGGGUGCUGCUACUGGUGUAAAAACCGUUUUUAUCAAAAGAACUAAAGUAGUAGCUAAUCCAAGCAUUGAAGAAUUGACGCAGAGGUUACGCUAUAUUGGCAUGAAGUCAGAGCAGCGCGUGAAGACUACAUAAGAUAGUUUCCGUUGACCUUCAGUCUAUAUGUCCUAACCAACAACGGCCACCUUUUAUUUCGUAUCAAUCGAUCCAGUAUCUUUUCCCUUUUGGCGUUGCUCUGAGCAAGAUAUGUAUAGCCUUUAGAUUUCCAUUCGUGUAUGAUACUACAUGUACACUUUAGACCUCAUUACUGUCUCUAUGGUCAAAAGAAGUUUGUGAUCACUUGUUCUA